rnacentral:rRNA from 15 species
AAUUGAUAGUUGGUGGUUAAAUGUCAUACGAGCUGUGUUAAUAUCUGGGUGUGUUCGAAACAUGUAAUGGUGUCUAAGAAAUGUUGUCCAAAGAUUGUUGUGAAAUGACCAAUUAUCAAGCUUUAUUUUCCUGAUUUUUCAGUAAACAAUAGUAAUAGUUAUUAUUAGUCAUUUGCAAUUCGGUUAAGAUGGGUAUUCGCUUAUGUUACAAAUGGGAUGAGCCCAAAUAAAUGGUUAAAGUUGAAAAAUAUUGCUGCCAGUAGGCCGCUAAAGAUAGUAUUGUGGUUUUAAAUCAAAUUAUCUAAUAGACCUGACUAACCUGGUCUAUCCGCUCAAAAGUUGGAUUAAUAGCAUCCAUCUUUUCAAAAGUGUGUAGUAUCUUAUGAGCUAAAUUGUCUAUGUAUGUGUUUCCCAAAUAAAAAUAUUGCUGAAGCUCUAAUAGUUGAGAUAGAAUACUGUCCGUAAGAAUAAGGUAUAAUUAUCUUCGAUUAGUUGUCCACGUGAAAAGGGGCUGCUAAAGACUUGAUAAAGACUAGUCCCUGGUGUAAAAAUGGCAAUUUGAGUAAUUUUAAUUCGUGUGA